UACGUAGGGUGCAAGCGUUGUCCGGAAUUAUUGGGCGUAAAGAGCGUGUAGGCGGCCCGAUUAGUCCGCUGUGAAAGUCCAGGGCUCAACCCUGGAAUGCCGGUGGAUACUGUCGGGCUAGAGUCCGGUAGGGGUGACUGGAAUUCCUGGUGUAGCGGUGGAAUGCGCAGAUAUCAGGAGGAACACCGAUGGCGAAGGCAGGUCACUGGGCCGCAACUGACGCUGAGGAGCGAAAGCAUGGGGAGCGAACAGG
rnacentral:rRNA from 1 species